UACGGAAGGCAGCAGUGGGGAAUAUUGCACAAUGGGCGAAAGCCUGAUGCAGCUAUGCCGCGUGUAUGAAGAAGGCCUUAGGGUUGUAAAGUACUUUCAUCGGGGAGGAAAAAACAAAACUAAUAAUUUUAUUUCUUGACGUUACCCGAAAAAGAAGCACCGGCUAACUCCGUGCCAGCAGCCGCGGUAAUACGGAGGGUGCUAGCGUUAAUCAGAAUUACUGGGCGUAAAGAGCACGUAGGUGGUUUUUUUAAGUCAGAUGUGAAAUCCCUGGGCUUUAACCUGGAACUGCAUUUUGAAACUGAAAUACUAGAGUAUCGUAGAGGGAGGUAGAAUUCUAGGUGUAGCGGUGAAAUGCGUAGAUAUCUGGAGGAAUACCUGUGGCGAAAGCGGCCUCCUAAACGAAUACUGACACUGAGGGUGCGAAAGCGUGGGGAGCAAACAGGGAUUAGAUA
rnacentral:rRNA from 1 species